rnacentral:rRNA from 1 species
AUUCCGUGCCAGCAGCCGCGGUAAUACGGGAGUGGCAAGCGUUAUCCGGAAUUAUUGGGCGUAAAGCGUCCGCAGGCGGCCCAACAAGUCUGCUGUUAAAAAGUGGAGCUUAACUCCAUCCAUGGCAGUGGAAACUGUUGGGCUCGAGUGUGGUAGGGGCAGAGGGAAUUCCCGGUGUAGCGGUGAAAUGCGUAGAUAUCGGGAAGAACACCAGUGGCGAAGGCGCUCUGCUGGGCCAUCACUGACGCUCAUGGACGAAAGCCAGGGGAGCGAAAGGGAUUAGAUACCCCUGUAGUCCUGGCCGUAAACGAUGAACACUAGGUGUCGGGGGAAUCGACCCCUCCGGUGUCGUAGCCAACGCGUUAAGUGUUCCGCCUGGGGAGUACGCACGCAAGUGUGAAACUCAAAGGAAUUGACGGGGGCCCGCACAAGCGGUGGAGUAUGUGGUUUAAUUCGAUGCAACGCGAAGAACCUUACCAGGGUUUGACAUCCUGCGAAUCUCUUGGAAACUUGAGAGUGCCUUCGGGAGCGCAGUGACAGGUGGUGCAUGGCUGUCGUCAGCUCGUGUCGUGAGAUGUUGGGUUAAGUCCCGCAACGAGCGCAACCCACGUCUUUAGUUGCCAGCAUUUAGUUGGGCACUCUAGAGAGACCGCCGGUGAUAAACCGGAGGAAGGUGUGGAUGACGUCAAGUCAUCAUGCCCCUUACAUCCUGGGCUACACACGUACUACAAUGCUACGGACAAAGGGCAGCAAGUUCGCGAGGACAAGCAAAUCCCAUAAACCGUGGCUCAGUUCAGAUCGUAGGCUGCAACUCGCCUACGUGAAGGAGGAAUCGCUAGUAAUCGCAGGUCAGCAUACUGCGGUGAAUACGUUCCCGGGCCUUGUACACACCGCCCGUCACACCAUGGAAGUUGGCCACGCCCGAAGCCGUUACUCCAACCCUUGUGGAGGAGGACGUCGAAGGUGGGGCUGAUGACUGGGGUG